rnacentral:rRNA from 1 species
GACGAACGCUGGCGGUGUGCUUAACACAUGCAAGUCGAACGGUAAGGCCCUUUCGGGGGUACACGAGUGGCGAACGGGUGAGUAACACGUGAGUAACCUGCCCUCAUCUCUGGGAUAACAGUCGGAAACGGUUGCUAAUACUGGAUAUGAGCCUGCAAGGCAUCUUGUGGGUUGGAAAGAUUUUUUGGUUGGGGAUGGACUCGCGGCCUAUCAGCUUGUUGGUGAGGUAGUGGCUCACCAAGGCUUCGACGGGUAGCCGGCCUGAGAGGGCGACCGGCCACAUUGGGACUGAGAUACGGCCCAAACUCCCACGGGAGGCAGCAGUGGGGAAUAUUGCACAAUGGACGGAAGUCUGAUGCAGCAACGCCGCGUGCGGGGUGACGGCCUUCGGGUUGUAAACCGCUUUCAAUUGUGACGAAGCUUUUUGUGACGGUAGCAGUAGAAGAAGCACCGGCUAACUACGUG